UACGUAGGGGGCAAGCGUUGUCCGGAUUUAUUGGGCGUAAAGCGCUCGCAGGUGGUUCGUCGCGUCGUGCGUGAAAGACCCCGGCUCAACUGGGGAGGGUCGUGCGAUACGGGCGGACUGGAGGCCAGUAGGGGGAUGCGGAAUUCCGGGUGUAGUGGUGGAAUGCGUAGAGAUCCGGAGGGACACCAGCGGCGAAGGCGGCAUCCUGGACUGGUCCUGACACUCAUGAGCGAAAGCGUGGGGAGCGAUCCGG
rnacentral:rRNA from 1 species